rnacentral:rRNA from 1 species
ACGGAAGUUUUCAGAGAUGAGAAUGUGCCUUCGGGAACCGUGAGACAGGUGCUGCAUGGCUGUCGUCAGCUCGUGUUGUGAAAUGUUGGGUUAAGUCCCGCAACGAGCGCAACCCUUAUCCUUUGUUGCCAGCGAUUCGGUCGGGAACUCAAAGGAGACUGCCAGUGAUAAACUGGAGGAAGGUGGGGAUGACGUCAAGUCAUCAUGGCCCUUACGACCAGGGCUACACACGUGCUACAAUGGCGCAUACAAAGAGAAGCGACCUCGCGAGAGCAAGCGGACCUCAUAAAGUGCGUCGUAGUCCGGAUUGGAGUCUGCAACUCGACUCCAUGAAGUCGGAAUCGCUAGUAAUCGUGGAUCAGAAUGCCACGGUGAAUACGUUCCCGGGCCUUGUACACACCGCCCGUCACACCAUGGGAGUGGGUUGCAAAAGAAGUAGGUAGCUUAACCUUCGGGAGGGCGCUUACCACUUUGUGAUUCAUGACUGGGGUGAAGUCGUAACAAGGUAACCGUAGGGGAACCUGCGGUUGGAUCACCUCCUUACCUUAAAGAAGC